UACGUAGGGUGCAAGCGUUAAUCGGAAUUACUGGGCGUAAAGCGUGCGCAGGCGGUGAUGUAAGACAGGUGUGAAAUCCCCGGGCUUAACCUGGGAACUGCAUUUGUGACUGCAUCGCUGGAGUGCGGCAGAGGGGAAUGGAAUUCCGCGUGUAGCAGUGAAAUGCGUAGAUAUGCGGAGGAACACCGAUGGCGAAGGCAACUCCCGUGGGCCUGCACUGACGCUCAUGCACGAAAGCGUGGGGAGCAAACAGG
rnacentral:rRNA from 1 species